rnacentral:ncRNA from 1 species
GGUCAAGUUUUUAAGAGCAUUCGGUGGAUGCCUUGGCACCAGGAGCCGAAGAAGGACGUUGUAGCCUGCGAUAAGCCUCGGGGAGCUGGCAAACGAGCUGUGAUCCGAGGGUGUCCGAAUGGGGAAACCCGGCCAGAGUCAUGUCUGGUUACCCGCGCCUGAAUAUAUAGGGCGUGUGGGGGGGAACGCGGGGAAGUGAAACAUCUCAGUACCCGCAGGAAGAGAUAUUCCGUGAGUAGUGGCGAGCGAAAGCGGACGAGGCUAAACCGGGGGUGUGUGACAGCCGGCGGGCGUUGCACCCUCGGGGUCGUGGGACCUGCUGACCAGCUCUGCGG